AGAGAGAGACAUGCGCUCAUAUCAAUAAGCGGAGGAAAAGAAACUAACUAGGAUUCCCUCAGUAACGGCGAGUGAAGCGGGAAGAGCUCAAAUUUGAAAUCUUCAAGGUUCUACCUUGACGAAUUGUAGUUUAAAGAAGUGUUUUCUGUUGAAGUUUUGGUAAAAGUUCUUUGGAAUAGGACAUCAUAGAGGGUGAGAAUCCCGUAUUUGACCAUUAUUUUCCAGCUGUGUGAUACACUUUCAAAGAGUCGGAUUGUUUGGGAAUGCAGUCCAAAAUGGGUGGUAAAUUUCAUCUAAAGCUAAAUAUUGGCGAGAGACCGAUAGCGAACAAGUACCGUGAGGGAAAGAUGAAAAGAACUUUGAAAAGAGAGUUAAACAGUACGUGAAAUUGUCAAAAGGGAAGCGUUUGACACCAGUGUUGUUUUCUCGAAAAUCAAUUAAAAAGAGUCAGAUUUUGUGUUGUAUUGACCUUUAAUCAGCAUUCUGCACUUCAAUUUUCUUGUCUUUUUUAAUGCACUUUUCGUUUAACAAGUCAACAUCAGUUUCUUUUGUUGUAAAAGGUCAUUGGAAGGUGGCUUUCUUUUCGGAGAAAGUGUUUAUAGCCUUUGCCUCUGCAAUCGGAGAGAUUGAGGUCUGCAGCGUAGAUCCUUCGGGGUUAGAUACAUUUGUGCUAAGUUAUAGCCUUUUCAUAGACAACUUGUUGACUAUGAUCAGUCAUGUAGCUUACUCGCUUAUGCUAUUUUACCUACGCUUAGGAUGUUGAUGUGAUACUGCGAGCA
rnacentral:rRNA from 1 species